rnacentral:rRNA from 1 species
UACAGAGGGUGCAAGCGUUAAUCGGAAUUACUGGGCGUAAAGGGUGCGUAGGUGGCUGAAUAAGUUAGGUGUGAAAGUCCUGGGCUUAACCUGGGGAUUGCGCCUAAUACUGUUGAGCUAGAGUACUGUAGAGGAAGGUGGAAUUUCCAGUGUAGCGGUGAAAUGCGUAGAUAUUGGAAGGAACAUCUGUGGCGAAGGCGACCUUCUGGACAGAUACUGACACUGAGGCACGAAAGCGUGGGGAGCAAACAGG